CUAGAGGCUUAAGACUUGAGAGAAAAGCAUUGCCUGAAGUGGAUGAUCCUAAGUAUGCAGGCAUGCACUUGUCUAAAUGAACCAGAAUCUUUUGCCCCCAUGAGUCCUACCAUUGCUUUGGUCAGAUACUUUUGUUGCCAGGGAUUGUUUUGCUUCAUGUGGCAUGAGGAACAAUUGGACAUUGAAAUAAGAAAGAAUAAUUAGGAUGGAGGGCUUUUUUGGCUAUCAAAAAUUAUAAAAAGCCACGAAUUGAGAAGAGAUCUAC
rnacentral:lncRNA from 1 species